AACGCGAAGAACCUUACCUAAGCUUGACAUCCUUUUGACCGAUGCCUAAUCGCAUCUUUCCCUUCGGGGACAGAAGUGACAGGUGGUGCAUGGUUGUCGUCAGCUCGUGUCGUGAGAUGUUGGGUUAAGUCCCGCAACGAGCGCAACCCUUGCCUUUAGUUGCCAGCAUUAAGUUGGGCACUCUAGAGGGACUGCCAGGGAUAACCUGGAGGAAGGUGGGGAUGACGUCAAAUCAUCAUGCCCCUUAUGCUUAGGGCUACACACGUGCUACAAUGGGUGGUACAGAGGGCAGCCAAGUCGUGAGGCCGAGCUAAUCCCUUAAAGCCAUUCUCAGUUCGGAUUGUAGGCUGAAACUCGCCUACAUGAAGCUGGAGUUACUAGUAAUCGCAGAUCAGAAUGCUGCGGUGAAUGCGUUCCCGGGUCUUGNACACACCGA
rnacentral:rRNA from 1 species